rnacentral:tRNA from 1 species
GGUGAUGUAGCUCAAACGGUAAAGAGCUCGCUUUGCAUGCGAGAGGUGCAGGGUUCAAUACCCUGCAUCUCUA